GAAUACCAGGAGUCGGCCUCUGCAACCUUGGAGCUGAUACAGAGGAACCAAAUGCACAGCGAAAGCAGGAGUGAGCCGCAAAACCGGAAAGGUCGUUCAGAGGAAGCCAUUGCCAAUUGACCCACAUGUUACGCGCUUUCUCGCAGACCUGAAGGAGUUUGAGUGAGUUUGAGAGAACUCCAACAUGUUGACGUAUCAGAGCUAAGAAGGAUCAGAGUUUCAAAGGUUGGGGUGAUAAUCUGCACGCCACCGAGAUUUAUUCGAGACUUGUUUGCGUCUCUCAUUCUCUCAGAAAUCCUGCCAUGCGGUUUGGGUCAGAAAAUUAUCUGCUUGCGCCUGUGUUGGCUUGCGGUAGCGUGCUUCUCUGGCUCCAGUCUAGCCCUGCUCGCUCCACUCUAUCAUCCUUUUCUCUCAACCCCUUUCUCUCUCGAUCUCUCUCAAAGACAGGCAGGCAAGCAGUUCUUGUUAUAGGUUUUUGUGAAAAUGUCUUCCUUUUAAACUGUUUUCCUAUUUUUCAUUGAUCUGUUUAGAUUAUUUUUUAUAUAUAUUUUUUUUUACAUAAUCCUGUAUUUUCAAGAAUGACUUAUUCUGAUGUCUUGGUUUGUGUAUGGUGAAGUACAUUAUUGGCCAGUAUUUGUCAAUGUUCUUAUCACUGUGUCUCUUUCUCUCCCCUACUAUCUGGAGUUGUAAUGUUGCUCUUUUCAAAUGUUGUUAUUUUUGGUUAAAGUGCAAUUCAUGUUAUGAAUUUGAAUAAAUAUAUAUAUUUGUA